UACGAAGGGGGCUAGCGUUGCUCGGAAUCACUGGGCGUAAAGGGUGCGUAGGCGGGUCUUUAAGUCAGGGGUGAAAUCCUGGAGCUCAACUCCAGAACUGCCUUUGAUACUGAGGAUCUUGAGUUCGGGAGAGGUGAGUGGAACUGCGAGUGUAGAGGUGAAAUUCGUAGAUAUUCGCAAGAACACCAGUGGCGAAGGCAGCUCGCUGGGACGGUACUGACGCCGAGGCGCGAAAGCGUGGGGAGCAAACAGG
rnacentral:rRNA from 1 species